GCCCCGCCUCGCAGACCCCGCCCUGGUGCCCGUGCCUGUGUAGGUGCCGCCGCCGCCGCCGCCGCCGCCGCCGCCCCUGCCCCCGAGCUUUCUUGGGCCCUCGCGGCCCCCAGCUGCCUCGGCUGGAUGCAGCUCCAGGCGCUCAGGGGAACUGUGUUGAGAACACGCCCCGUCUCGCUUUCCUGUGGGCAUUUCCCAGGAUUUCCUUGCACCUAAAUCCUCCUCAGUGUCUGCUACCUCAGAGGGAGCACCUCUGCGAAUGAGGGUGGGGACGCAGGCGCUAACCGAGGUCAGGUUUUCAGUCCGUAGAUGUGCUCGAGAAACCAACACGGAGGAGAAAUGCUGCCACUGCAGACCCGUGGCGGGGGGCGCUGGCCUAGCUGAGUGUGGCCAGGCGGCCGGGACACCGACAUCCGGGGCUGGAAAGACAGAUCCGCGUCCGCAGAGGCCUCCGUCCCUGAGGAGAGAUCCCGGCGCCCAGGGCUCACGUCUGGGUGGAGACUGUUUCAAACACAAGACCAAGGGUCUUGUGGGAGCCCAGAUGAGGUGCUGAGCCAGCCCUGAAGGACUUCCUGGAGGAGGAGAGGGUCCUGACGAGGCGCGGGCCGCUCUCCUGCCGGCUUCGUGGAGGAAGGAACCGAGGCUCAGCGAUGGUCCGGAUCCGGCCUCCGCUUGCUCGCCGGCCUCGGGACAGGCGGCAGAGGAGCCUGGAGAACCUUACGUCUUCUUUCCUGGCUUGGUUCAACUUUUCUCGUCAGUAAAGCGUCUUGUGUAUCUCACCUGCUGGUGGGAGUCCCCGUAAACGUUCCCCAGUUCCUACUGUGCACCAGACAGCUUGCGGAGCGUUGGGGACAACUGGACAGACACAGGCUCCGCCCUUAGGCCCCUGCAGCUGGUGGGGGGGAGUGGGGAGAGGCAGAUUCUCAAGCACCUUCCAGGAACUGUGGGUGACAAUCCACAAUUACAGCCACCAGCCCCCUUGAGUGACCUGGGGGAGGAGCCCAGGGGCCUUGCCUGUCAGGCUCACUUGUUUGCUCCAGAGGCUUCUCCUGCCUCCCUUUUGGAACCUAAGUCAGCUCAGGUCACCCCUCAGCUCAAAACCUUCCCAUAGCUCCGCCUCCCUCGGAGACAAAGGCACAGAUUUCUCAAGGCUCCAGAGGAGCCCCUCCCGAGCCCCCACCCCUUUUGCCCCCUCUGCUCAGCCCCGUGGGCUUCUGCAGCUCGCCGGGCGAGUGCCACCUCAGGGCCUUUGAACAUGCUGCUGGCUCUGCAGGCUGCUCUUUCUCCAGUUAUCCUCACGGCCCCUCCCUCACCUCCUUCGCAGUGAAACUUUUGUGACCCAACCUAACAUUGCAGCCCCCCGGCCACUGCUCUAUGUUUCUCCAUAACACUUGACAUUCUAAGUCCUCUCUCAGCUUGUUUAUUCCCUGUCUCCUGCACUAGAGCCUCAGCUGCUCAAGGACAGGGAUUCUGUUUGUAUUGUUAGUGCCCUGUCCCCAGCAGGUGGCACAGUGCCGACACACAGUGGGUGCCCAACGACCGUGACUUGAACGAAUAGAUUGAUUGAUUGAUGGAUGGAUUGCCUCCAGGGCACCCUGCCUGCUCUAGCUGCCAGUCUGGGCUUAGCUGGAGAAGAGUGUGAAGGGCUGAGGGUGGGCAGUGGCCCUCCCUCCUCCUCUGCCCUCUCCCACCAUGUCAGCCCCAAGGCCUCCACUGCGUCCAGAAGGUGGAGAUUCAGGGAUGUGGAUGCCUCCUCUGCAGCUCUGUUGAGAAGAUUCUAUUCAUUGAACAAAGCUUUAUUUUCCCAGAAAGAACGGAAGAGAAAGAGGCUGAGCUGUGGCCUCCGAGAGACCUUGAUUCCACACACACUGCCUGGUCCCACCGCCAGCCCUUUGUCCUUACUCUUCUCUCUGCCCCAAAUGCCCUCCCCGCUCCCAUUCAUACAGUAAUGCUGGACCUUUAGGCACCCGAGGACUGCGGGGAACUGGGACCCUGAAACUUCAUUCCUCGGGGAAGGGAGCAGUGCAGCUGUUACGAGCAUCGAGUGUGGAGUCAGCUGCUUCGUGGCUGCGUGACAUCGGACUUCACAUCUCUGCGCCUCGGUUUCCCUCAGCGUAAGCUGGCCAAGAUGCUCUAAGUGGGAGAAUGGAGAUGUGGGUGGAGAGGCUGCCUGGAGAAUGCAGUGUAUGGGACCCAGGGGUGAGCUGAAUCGCCCUGAGGUCUUGGGGCCUCCCCAGGAGGCAGGGGUUUUGGGUCUCCAUGUUCAGCUGAGCUGCCUGCUUUGGGAGUUCGAGGAGGGGACUGCUUUCUCCACGCAGUCCACCUGCUCCAUUCCAGAGCCCCUUACUGUGGACAACUCCUGCAUCUUCCCGGCCUCCUGAUUGGGAGGGGCUCCCCACCCAGACCCUCUGGCCACUCUCCCUAACUCGUCUUCUGAGUGCCAGUUUCAGGUGCUGGAGAUGCUGGCUUUCCAGGGGCUUCUGGAGUAGCCAGAGGCAUCAGGAGCCUCGGCCCAGAUGCCGGGGAGGGACUGAGACCUGCGGCUGGGUAGGAGGGCUCCCCGGCAGACUCGGAAAUGGCGAGGCCAGGAGUGAAUGUGUGAGGUCUCUCAGGGCCCCCCCAGUGACAACACCCAGCCCGGCCCCCAACCCCAGGGCUCAGACAUCCCCUUCUUGGUCUGACCCCCUGAAGGGGCGUAGGGACACUGGAGCUUGUGUAGAUAGAUGUGCAAGGCCCGGAUCAAGGAAGGGUGAGCUUGGGGCUCUGAGGCACGUGGCCACAGGCCUAGGACUGGAGUUGUGGAGUCUCGGCAGGGGUGUGGCCGGUGGGUCCAGCACCUUCGUGGUACCGUCCCUCUGGGGGCUUCGGGCCCAUGCCUGUGCCUUAGGCCCCUCCUCAGAAUCUUGGUCUUAAAAGCAUCAAACGACACCCAGGAUGCCGAAGGAGCCAGUUAUUACAGUGGCUAAAAAGCACAUUUGUGAUAUGUGGAAGGAAAUGGUACAUUUCAGCGGUGCCUGGUAGAAAUAGUGAUACUCUUCCCAUCAAACACACGGCCCCGAGUUCCAUCCCUGACAUUCCGCCUGCUCCCGCCCGCCCUGCCAGGAGGAGCGGCGACACCAAUAAUGCCACAGUCAGCGAUGGACGGUGACAAGCGGCACCAUCACUGGUCUUUAUGGGGGCUUUGCGCUGCGCCUCAUGGCAGCUGUGUCUGCUCUUCCUGCAUCUUAUCCUCACCACAGCCCUGCAGGGCGGGCAUUAGUAUGGUCCCCAUUGUGCAGAGGAAGAAACGGAGGCACAGAGAAGUUAAAUGACUUGCCCAAGGUCACACAACUUGCAGGCUAAUGGAGUCCAGACGGAGGCGAUACGAUUGUCCCCGUGCUGUGGAUGGGCCAGCCUGGUGGGAGGGAUUCCUCCAGCUCUGAACAGAGACCUGCACUGAACCUACUGCCACGAUGCCAGUCGGGGUGGUGCCCCGGGGCCAAGGGAACAGGGGGGCAAAGGUGUGUCAGGACCCUAUAGACCACCGGGGGACCGUGCACGUCCCUCAGACCAGUGGGUCCUCCUGGCCCCUGGCACUAGGCGAGGCUGUCCCCGAGGAGCUUCUGUGAGAUUCAGGUCAUCACAGAAUGUUUAUUAAUCCCACAGACAGGAUGGGGUCGGGCAGCUCCUCAGGGAAUCUGGAGCUGAAGGAGCUGGGCAUGGGAAGGAGUGAGGGGGUGGGUUCAGGACGGCUUUCUGGACCAGCCUCCUGGACAGCUGAGAGCCCCAGAGUGGGGAGUCUCCCUCUCCCCUCAGCUCUGGGCUACUUUUUAAAUGAAUUAAUGUGGCGGGGGCGGGGGGGACGCACAGAACCCUUGAAGGUGGUGUAAAGGCACAACGAACUCACAGAGAGCAGCUCACCUCCCUCCUGUCCCCUAACCUCCCAAUUCUCUUCUUGGGAGCUAGUUUCUGGUGUCUUUCCAGAAGAUUCUAUCCAACACCCUAGGGUGUGUGUGUGUGUGUGUGUGUGUGUGUAUACGUAUCCUGCUUAAAUAAAAUCCUAAU